rnacentral:rRNA from 1 species
UACGUAGGGUGCGAGCGUUAAUCGGAAUUACUGGGCGUAAAGCGUGCGCAGGCGGUUUGGUUAGACAGAUGUGAAAUCCCCGGGCUUAACCUGGGAACUGCCUUUGUGACUGCCCGGCUAGAGUGUGUCAGAGGGGGGUAGAAUUCCACGUGUAGCAGUGAAAUGCGUAGAUAUGUGGAGGAAUACCGAUGGCGAAGGCAGCCCCCUGGGAUAACACUGACGCUCAUGCACGAAAGCGUGGGGAGCAAACAGG